CAACAGAAGUCCAGACUAAAUACUCACUAAAAAGGUCAUCAUUUAUUUUAUAUUGCACAUUUUUAAUUCACUUCAAAAAAUUAUGUUGAUUGUGAUUGAUUUGUAAAUGUGUUAUAAAGAUAAAACCUCUAAGGAGGUGAAAACUUUUUAUCAGCACAGUAUUAGAGAAUGGAUCAAACUGAGCGCGCUCAGACUGCUACUGUUUAUGCACCAUGGACCUGUUUAAACAGCAGAAUAUUCCUUUAACAGUGACUACAGGAAGUGAUGUCAUCGCGCUUUCUCACCACAUAAGGAGUCGGGACAAACGAGGAGAAGAGAUGGACAGGAACGUCUCUGCUGAGCAUCACUGCAGCCGUCAGCUUGGCCAGCCUGCGGCGCACAAACAGAGACCUGGCUCAGGAAGCGUCCAGGGGACGGACUUCCUGUCACACUUCCUGUCUGGGUGCCAUUCCAUCUCUGUAUCAAAUCCCUGGAAACAAAACCAAGUCGAGAGUUCCUGCUGUUCACCUCUGACUGCUGCAGCCGCUCUCCUCCUGACCUCUGGUGUCGUAUCCAACGACGACGCCCCGGCUGCCGAGGUCAGCAAAACACCUGCACAGACCUGACGUCCUCCGACAGACAGACAACCUGGACAUGCAGCAGGAAGUCAUCACAAUAACCCAGCUCUCAGUCUGAUGGUUCCAGGCUUUUCCUGCAGGAUGGGAAACUCCCGGUAACGGUCACCGCUGCCAGGCUAACCCAAGCCAACCACUCACCCGGUCCCAGUCCAGCCACUGCUGCACCGCCUCGUCCAGCUGCGGCUCCCCGGUUCUCCGCUGCCCCAGUGGAGAAAAAAAGGCAUCAUGAGUGAAACAGUUUCUACGCAGACGACGCGCCGCCGUUCCGGUCGGGUUCUGGCGUUUCCGUCAGC